rnacentral:rRNA from 1 species
UACGGGGGGGGCAAGCGUUGUUCGGAAUUACUGGGCGUAAAGGGCGCGUAGGCGGUUUGCUAAGUUGGAUGUGAAAACUCUGGGCUUAACCCAGAGCCUGCAUCCAAAACUGGCAAACUUGAGUACUGGAGGGGAAAGCGGAAUUCCUGGUGUAGCGGUGAAAUGCGUAGAGAUCGGGAGGAACACCAGAGGCGAAGGCGGCGACCUGGACAGUUACUGACACUCAACUACGAAAGCGUGGGGAGCAAACAGG